UGGCGGGGUCUUUGUCUCUCGCUGGCGCUGGCACAGGAGCUUGGGAUCCGUCUCCUAUUUCGUCUCCUCCACCUUGGGAGCCCCGGGCUACUCUCUCACAGCCCCUGUUGCCCUGUGACCUGUAGGUCCUUGGGGACGCAUAGUUAAGGUGCCAGGACAUCAUGGAAGCUGGGAAAUGAUUUCUUCUAGACCAUGGCUGGAGAAGUAAAGAAGGUGUGUUUUGCCUGAUUCAGGGACUAUAGAGAGAACCAAAUUCUGCAGGCCUGUCACCUGUCUCAGUGGAAGAGAAACUAUUCCUGUCUUUACACCUGGUAGUAUUUCCAAGAGAAAGUUGUGAGAUUCUGCUUCAAAUCACCUCUCAAACAAAUAAAAAACAGACUUGGGAAAGGUACUACACUCAUUCUGCUGAAGAAAUUGUAUCAGCAUCCAGUUGCCUGGACUGCAAUGUGUCUCUAAGGAAUGGACACUAAGCGUUGUGAUAAGAAAAUCUUAAUGUCCUAAGGGGUUUGCUUUUAGCGCAAGGGUAUACCUGGAGAUUCCUUCCAGGUACAGUGCAUCCAACCACUCCACAGAGAGGCUGCAUUCCCAUACCUUGGGCUGUUCCCUGAGAGGAGAUGACACAAGGGAUGCUAUUUACUAGACACCUCAAGAGUCAUGGCCACUGUUGGCAUCUUGGGGAAUCCUCAAACAGUUUCAAAACUCAAAACCAAGAAAAUAACACAAGAUAGCUGAGGAUGUAUUGCCCUGUGAAGUUUCCAAAAUGAAACCUCAACCCAAAGACAUUCUGAUGGGGUGUCUGUGUCAAGGGAAUAUUAAAGACAGGGGCACAAAUGUUUUCUUUUUUUUUUUUUUUUUUUUUUUACUGUGAAGUGUCAGGGGAUUGUUAUCUGCUUUCAUCUCCUGUAAAAUAUUUACAAAUGAAAAAUAUUUUUUAAGACUGCUUUUUGAAAAAAUGAAGAUUUAAAAUAGUGUGUCUAAAAUGUACUAUAAAGAAGAGUUGAUAAUGUUGUGAGUUACACAAUGUUAGUUAGUGUUGGUAAGUGUCAGGAAAGAACUGGAAAUUUAAAAUCUGACUGCAAGCCAGAGGUAGGCUGGGGCAACAGAGUGGUAGAUUUGAGGAUCUACUUGCCACACUUUUGGAAAAUGCAUGAGAAGACUAGUUCUCUUUUGGAGUGUUAAAACAACUAAAAAAAGGCGAUUAUGAUGAGGUGGCUCUAGUGUCCUGAGCUCUGAGUGGAGAGACAGGCCAAGGCCUCCCUAGAUCCAAAAAGCUGCCCAUUCUUCUCUAGCUGUGCACCUGAUUAGAUACUUUCCACUCCAGCACCAAUGAUCGGGUAUAGUUCAAUUCCCCACCCCACCCCCUUAGGCCAUGGGUGACAUAUGUGAUUUGACACUGGGUUGAAUAAAGCAAGAAUUAUAGGUUUUUCCUGGAUCCUUUUAGGGCAGGGCUUCCACCAUGCACUGGACACUAGCCCUGCCUGUAAAAUAGUUGCAUUUACAUUGGUGAGUAAGAUUAUUUUUAUUUAUGAAUAAUAUAUAUGUGUUAUUCAUAUGUGGAAGAAAUAUAAUGACAAUUAUUUUAAAAUUUCAAUUUUUUUACUUUCCUGGCACAUCCAGGCUUUAGAGCAGGCAGCCUAAGAUUUCAAAUAGGAGGCAAUUCUCUAAGAAAUAAUAUGUGAGGGACAUGUGAAUUUUAAAUAUUCUAGUAGCUACAUUUUAGUAAAUACAGCGGCAUGCUUGCCUGUGCCUGUAGGUCAAACUGUUAGGGAGACUGAUGUAGGAGGAUCACUUGAGGCCAGGGGGUUGAGACCAGCCCAGGCAGCAUAGAGAAAGCCAUCUCUACAAAAAAAAAAAGAAAUUGAAAAAUUAGCCAGGCCUGGUGGUGCAUGCCUUCACACCCAGCUACUCAGAAAGCUGGAGGGGGAGGAUCACUUGAGCCUGGGAGGUCAAGGCUGAAAUGAGCCGUGAUCACACCACUGCACUCCAGCCUGGCUGACAGAGCAAAACCAUGUCUCAAAAAACUGAUCUCUGGAAAGGCAUUUUCUUUUACGGCAAUGUAGCCAAACAGCUAACUAUAUAUUGAAGCCAUCCUUUAAUUUUUAACAGGGCAAGAAUGUUUUCUAAGACCCCGAACUCCAGAUAUGCAAUGGGGCAAAUCCUGAAGUGUACAUGGAUAUCUCUCACAGCUAAAGCAUCCCUCACCCCUAUCCAGCGCUUCUUACUCCUGCCACAAAAGAAUCACCUGCGGGGAGGAAAACUUUCAAAAUCCCUAAAAUCGAAGUUGUAACCGAUCAAUUAAAUCAGAAUCCUUGGAGUUGGGUCUGAAAAAAAUACGGUUUAAAGCUGUGCAGGUGAUUACAAUAUGUAGGCAAGCCACAAAAUCGUGGCUUUAACCAGCAGCUUUUGUUAGAAUUGAUUUCUCAAAUGAAUGUAAAAACGUUUGCUGCUGAAUUGUGACCUUCCAAUUUUACUUGCUUUUCCUACAAUGUAUAUUUUGCAGACCCAGGCUUGCUUCUCGUCCUGUUCCUGAUUCACCCAGUGCCCUGUGUAUUCAGUGCAACCUGUGCACGGGUCACUGUGCUGUGUACCCUGGCCUGGGUGAGCAUCAUUCUUCGGGGAGAACCUUUCUGAAAACAAAGCUGCAUUCCAAAAAAUUAAAACCAUGCUACUUACUGUAUUGAGGUGAAAAUUAAAAGACCUAAGGGACUCAUCCAAAAUUUAAAACAUAAAUAAAUAACUUGGAACAUUAAUAUACACCUGAUGAUGUCCUGAGUGAACAUGCCCCACUUUAAAACAAAACAAAACAUUACUAUUAUUCUAAAAUAUUAAUUUAGGAUUGUUAUGAAAAUAUGUACUAUUUAAAUUUUUAUUGGUGUAUAACAUGCAUACAGCAAUAUAGGAACAAAACAUUUAUGGAAUGCUUGAUGAAUUAUUACAAAAUAAAUACACUUGUGUAUCUAAGAAUCAGAUUUGUUCAUGCCCUUGACACUUUCUCCUUUCCAAAGGUAACCAAGAUCUUAAGAGCUAAGUGCAGAUAAACUUGUCAUUUUGUACAAGUGUUUUAUUACACAUCAUUAAAAAUGUAUACGCAAUACAAAAAAAGUAUAACAGACCAGUCACCAAGCUUUAACAGCUACUAGUCAUGUGUCAUUUUUGUUUCACCUAUACUUCCAGCCAUUCCCACUCCAAUUUCAUUAUUUUUUAGGCUUUUUGGAUAAAAUAUAUAUUCAUUGCAAGGCACAAUGUGAACUGUAAAUAGUAGAGAGAUGGGGUUUCACCAUGUUGGCCAGGCUAGGCUUGAACUCCUCACCUCAGGUGAUCCACCCCCUUCGGCUUCCCAAAGUGCUGGGAUUACAGGCAUGAGCCGAUAUACUCGGCCUGAGAAUUCAUAUUUCUAACAAAGUACAAAUCCAUAGGGCGCACAUGACCACUGCAAUGUCUGUCUACAGUAAAUACAGUUUGAUGAAUAAAAUGAAAGGCAAUUGACCUAAGGUGAAAAAAAAACACAAAAAACAAUCAAACCAUGGGUAGUAUGUGCUAUCUGUAAGAACAUUUGGUUAAGAAUAACAAACCAGUUUUAUCAUUUUAAUAACCAAAAUUGGCAAAAUUUCUAGUUUUUCUUUCAUAGAAAUGCUCUUUGCAAGAAAAAAUUUUCAUAUAGUGAGAGCAAAAAUGACAACCAUUUGCAAGUAAAUGUCUUAUGAAAUUAAGUAGCAGAUAUCAUCAACCUCAAUACCUUCAGAUAGUUACCCCUAACUCAAUCAUUUACAUACCAAGUGCAGAUAAUUUUCAUAGCUUCCUAUUAAAAUUAUAUUUGAAUGCCCUUACAAAUUGUGACUGUUUUUAAAGUUCACCAACUAAAAUUUUUAUAUGACAUAUGAUAAGUUCCACUUCAAGUCACCUUACAUUUACUUAAUUUUAUUAGGCAGUGUCUGUCUACCACCCAGUAAUACGUGGGGAUUCUCCCUCCAUUUGCACAGACAUCAUAGCUGGGGAACAGGGAUUCACAAGACCCAGGCUGUUCCCUACAUAUUUUUCCUCCUCAGACAUCAGUUCAUCAGUCAAUCAAGUCAUGUGAGAGUGGAGGCCAUGUAUUCUGUAUUCUUGGGCACUCUCCUCCAAGGAGGAAAAGGCCAGGAGGUCCUGUUAGGGGAUGCACUCUGAGAGGCCGGGCUCCUAAGGUGUGAGAGUUCUAACCAGCAGGUGUAGACUUUUCAGGAGUGAGGAAUGAGGCAGGUAUUCCAAACCUGGAGCUUCAUCACCUUUUGUUUCAUCUCAAGACAAUUCUGAGGCGCUGUUUUGGAACGUGUCUGGAAGGUGAACGUUGAAGAAGAGUGUGGGCUUUGAUGUGACUCAGAUGAGAUCUUUCUUAGGGAGGCAAGAAUUCAAUGCCCAGAAUCUGGGCAGAUGUCUUUGAGGUCAGAAGGUUGCCUCUUUGUAUCCAAGUCCAUUGCUACUAGGUUGGGGGCUGGAGAUUCUAAAUGGCUUCCAGACCGCCUCUCUGAUUCUCUUUUGGAGAUGGGGUCUGAAAAAGACAAUGUCAGUAUUUUUCGGAAAUUCUAGAAAGUCUGUUUGGAAACCUGGGAAGACCUCUUGCCUAGUGCCUAAAUGCUCCAUUUGCAGCUCUAGCCACGUAGAUGCUUGGUAGGUAUAGAGCUGGGUUUGCAUUUAUAUCAGCAAAACCUAUGUCAGAGUUGAAGAAGUAGUAAGGACAAAGUGUCUUGGUCGCAGGCCGGGAAACAUCUUAAAAGCAAACUUCUAGCCUGCUGACUCUUGGCAAUGAGUGUUGGGUCCUGGCCAAAGUGCCUUGAAUGCAGCAUGAGGCCAAUCCAUAAAUCCAACUUCUAAUGGAGAAUUAUUAAUAUUUUUUCAUUUUGAAUCAAUCAGGGUGAAAUUACCUUGCUAUUGGUUUGCUUACUUUUUAUUAUUUCAUAUAAAAUCUAAGACAAAAUACAUUAAAUGCUUACUGACAUAUGUAUUUACUCUUCACCUGGCUGAUAAUAUCUCCCUAAUUUUAAACUUUCUUCCAUUUUGUAGGUUUCAACUUAUUUUAUUGUAAGAUAGUAUUAAAUCUAAUAUAGGCAUUGUCACUUUUACAUAUAAUUUUAUUUUAUUUCAUAUAUUUCCUAUUGGCUAUUUACAUUUAAAUUAUGGACUGUUUCAUCAUAUAAAAAGCUUCAUUUAUAUUUAAACAAUAAGUCUUUGGAUUUUUUUGUCUUGUAAUUUCCAUAUUACAUAGUAAUGAGAUAAACAUUAAUGUUUACAGGAUAUUUUAAAUUUUAGAUAAUUACUCAUUUUAUCCAUCUGAAAUUUGUUUUUUACUGCAUGUGCGGGUUGGAGAACUGUUUUCACUUCUGAUUCAUCUUUAUUCUUAUCUCCUCAGAGCUCAUACCUCUUGUAGUUGGGGGAUUGCAGUUUAUAAUUCCAAUAAACGGGGCAAAUUUUAUAAUAACAUAAUUCAAAUGAGUUUGAAAGGAGGACAGGUCUUCAAAGCAUACACAACAUGGGCCUACAUAUGUACAACAAUAAUAAUUUAUAAGUUACAGUUUGAAUAGAAAGUAAAAGUACGAGAAAUUUGUUAAAGAAAAUUAAAAUGGAGAUCAUGUCUCAAUAAUCUCUGAGCAGACAAAAUUAGUUAGGUCUCAUAAGUGAUCUCAACCUUGCUUGAUUUGCAAAUAUAAGCAAAACUUAAAUUAUUUCUUGUAGCUGCCUAUUCAAAAAACAGAAAUGAAGGUCAACCAAUCCGGUGCAGCCAACGACCUUAUAUAAAUAGAAACUGUUCAACAAGGUAAACAGACAAACAAAAAACAAUAAAAAAAGUUGUGCUACCACCAAUCAAAUGAUUUCUUUGUUUCUACAUUUUUCCAAUAUAUACUUGCUUCUUACACUGUCAAUGAAUCACUGAAUAUCUUUCUGUCUGAUAUUUUAUAAUUUUUCAAUUGCUCUUACUCAAAUAAACACUUUACAAUUUCAUUGUGUCUCAAAUUACUUUUUAGCAGAAUAAAAUAAACUAGGAAUAAAUAUUACAAAAAUAUGU